GCCCGGCUAGCUCAUUCGGUAGAGUAUGAGACGCUCAAUCUCACGGUCGUGGUUUCGAAUCCCAUGUUGGGCA